rnacentral:rRNA from 1 species
AUGGUCCGACUACGGAACCAAAAUAAAAGAAGACAACCCCAAAUGCUAGAUCCCCGAUCGCCCCAACUGGGCGCCACUACUGAUCAACCAGAAAGACACAACACAACGAUCAAGAUCUUCAUCGAGCUCCCACUUGAGCUGGGUUGCGCCACCUGCACUGGUAUCAACGGCACCUUCGACUGUUUGGAAGUAUCUGUGAGCCACGAGGACUCAGCAAUCUCACACCCGCGAGAUCAAGACUAUUUAAGCUUAUGGGUAGGAGAAAGUAGUGAGGUGGAGCUGCAGCAAGCACUAAGCAUAUAUGGUGGCUAA